GGUGGGGUCGCAUAGAGGCCUAGUGCGCUGGUUUCGAAAACCGGUAUUCCGCAAGGGAUCGUGAGUUCGAAUCUCACCCCCACCG
rnacentral:tRNA from 5 species